rnacentral:rRNA from 1 species
AGAUUGAACGCUGGCGGCAGGCCUAACACAUGCAAGUCGAGCGGCAGCACGGGUACUUGUACCUGGUGGCGAGCGGCGGACGGGUGAGUAAUGCCUAGGAAUCUGCCUGGUAGUGGGGGAUAACGCUCGGAAACGGACGCUAAUACCGCAUACGUCCUACGGGAGAAAGCAGGGGACCUUCGGGCCUUGCGCUAUCAGAUGAGCCUAGGUCGGAUUAGCUAGUUGGUGAGGUAAUGGCUCACCAAGGCGACGAUCCGUAACUGGUCUGAGAGGAUGAUCAGUCACACUGGAACUGAGACACGGUCCAGACUCCUACGGGAGCAGCAGGUGGGGAAUAGUUAGGACAAGUGGGACGAAAGCCUGAUCCAGCCAGUGCCGCGUGUGUGAAGAGGUC